GCUUAAAGGGUGCGCAGGCGGACUGAAAGCAUCUGUGAAAUACCUCGGCUAACCGAGGAACUGCGGGUGAACUUCCAAGUCUUGAAUACGGGUAGGGGUCAGAGGAACUGUCGAGUGGAAGCGGUGAAAUGCGUAGAUAUCGACAGGAACGCCAAUGGCGAAGGCAGUCUGCUGGGCCUGAUUCUGACGCUCAGGCACGAAAGCGUGGGGGAGCAAACAGGAUUAGAUACCUGGUAGUCCACGCCGUAAACGAUGUGCACUAGAUCGAGGUGGCUCUCACGCCUUCUCGGGUCGAAUAAAAACGUUAAUGCACCGCACUGGGAGAGUACGGUCGCAAGGCUAAAACUCAAAGGAAUUGCGGGGGCUCACACAAGCGGUGGAGCAUGUGCUUAAUUCGAGGCAACGCGAAGAACCUUACCUGGGCUUGACAUUAUGGAUUAACCUUUCGAAAGAUUGGCCACGCCCUUUGGGUGGAACAUCACAGGUGUUGCAUGGCUGUCGUCAGCUCGUGCUGUGAAGUGUCGGGUUAAGUCCCUUAACGAGCGCAACCCCUAUUGCUAGUUGCCAGCGCGUCAUGGCGGGGACUCUAGCGAGACUGCCGGUGUCAAAGGAAGGGAAGGUGGGGAUGACGUCAAGUCCUCAUGGCCCUUAUGUCCAGGGAUGCAAACGUGCUACAAUGGCAUGGACAGAGGAUGUCGAAGUCGCGAGGCAGAGCAAAUCGCAAAAACCAUGCCCCAGUUCGGAUUGAGGCUGCAACCGCCUGCAUGAAGCCGGAAUCGCUAGUAAUCGGAGAUCAGCUCGCUCCGGUGAAUAGUUCCUGAGCCUUGUACACACCGCCCGUCAGUCAGGAAGCUGGUAGUGCCCAAAGUCACCUCGUUUCAGGGGUGCCUACGGCAAGAUCGGUGACUGGGACUAAGUCGUAACAAGGUA
rnacentral:rRNA from 1 species